GACAGAGGGGGCAAGCGUUGUCCGGAAUCACUGGGCGUAAAGGGUGCGUAGGCGGGUCUUUAAGUCAGGGGUGAAAUCCUGGAGCUCAACUCCAGAACUGCCUUUGAUACUGAGGAUCUUGAGUUCGGGAGAGGUGAGUGGAACUGCGAGUGUAGAGGUGAAAUUCGUAGAUAUUCGCAAGAACACCAGUGGCGAAGGCGGCUCACUGGCCCGAUACUGACGCUGAGGCACGAAAGCGUGGGGAGCAAACAGG
rnacentral:rRNA from 1 species